rnacentral:lncRNA from 1 species
UUUUUUUUUUUUUUUUAAGUAUAGAGUUGAUAAUUAAAUGUGAUUAUCUUGUGGCAAUCCCAGCACUCCAGAGCUAGAGGCAGGAGGAUCUCAAGUUCAAGGUCAGCUUGGGCACAUAAUGAGACUGUGUCAAAAUUUUAAAAACAAGGUCAAGGCAAGUGAUAAACUCUGCCUCCGGAGUGCUGGUGUUAAAAGUGUGCACCAUCAUUACCCAACUACCAAAUGCUUUGUUAAUGUUAAAUUUUAUCAUUGGAUACAGGGUCAGUUCAUUUCCUUUCCUAUUGCAUAUUCAUGACACUCAUGUCUCUCCAUGCUUUCAAAUUGUGAGGGUUUUUUUGUUUGUUUGUUUUGUUUUAUUUUGUUUUAAGAUUCCAACUAGCUAUGCUUUGUUUACUAUGAAGAUGUAUAUGCUGUGUGGGUUCAGGCAGUUAAAUGAAGAACAUAUACAGGUUGAUGGCUUAUGUGGUUAAUAGUAUUAUUUAAGGAGUUGUCUUUUGAGGGUUACCUUUCCCUCUCCAUGCUGCAAGCAGGGUAGCAGCCAGUAUGCUUGUAUGUUUUUGUGUAUUAUGGAUAUAUUUCCUUAGGAUAGAUACCUAGAGGUAGAAUUACUGAGUCAAACUAUGACGUUAAAAUAAUCCCAGCCUUUGUCUGGGUCUGGGACUGAGCAACGUUACAUUGUUAGUGGCAGGAUGGGCUGUUACAGAGCUGGGUUCUGUGUGUAUGUGCCAGUUACCUGCUGUUACCUGCUGUUUACACCAGCUGCUUUCAGACUAGUUUUUUUUUUUAAACUUUUGUUUGUUUGUGUUUUCUUUAAUUCACUUCAAAGCUUUCAUAAGUAACUCCCAAGAAUGCCUUAAUGCCCACAUUUCUUGUAGCACAUAAUCAUAGGUGUCUUCUCAUUCGGGUACUUAAGUAAGAAUAUGUUUUUUUAUAGAAAUAAGUGGGAAGGCACUUAAUUAGCCAGAUAAAUGGGGAAGUUACCUGUGAAGGAUGAAAGGUUGGGUUUGGUUCCAUUCUUCUCUGCUUCUGCAGGCUGCUUGGCUUUACAUAAUUUCCCUUCUUUCUUGUAUUUGCUUUAUCGCUGUAAUAAACGUGUGAAAGGAUC